rnacentral:rRNA from 1 species
GUAGCGAAAUUCCUUGUCAGGUAAAUUCUGACCCGCACGAAUGGCGUAACGACUUGGGCGCUGUCUCAACGAGAGAUCCGGUGAAAUUUUAAUACCUGUGAAGAUGCAGGUUACCCGCGACAAGACGGAAAGACCCCAUGGAGCUUUACUGCAGCUUGAUAUUGAAUUUGGGUACGAUCUGUACAGGAUAGGUGGGAGCCGUAGAAGUAGGAGCGCAAGCUUCUAUGGAGGCGCCGUUGGGAUACCACCCUGAUUGUAUCUAGGUUCUAACCUGGUACCCUAAACGGGUACGGGGACCGUGUCAGGCGGGCAGUUUGACUGGGGCGGUCGCCUCCUAAAGAGUAACGGAGGCGUUCAAAGGUUCCCUCAGAAUGGUUGGAAAUCAUUCGAAGAGUGCAAAGGCAUAAGGGAGCUUGACUGCGAGACCCACAAGUCGAGCAGGGACGAAAGUCGGACUUAGUGAUCCGGUGGUACCGCAUGGAAGGGCCAUCGCUCAACGGAUAAAAGCUACCCUGGGGAUAACAGGCUUAUCUCCCCCAAGAGUCCACAUCGACGGGGAGGUUUGGCACCUCGAUGUCGGCUCAUCGCAUCCUGGGGCUGAAGUAGGUCCCAAGGGUUGGGCUGUUCGCCCAUUAAAGCGGUACGCGAGCUGGGUUCAGAACGUCGUGAGACAGUUCGGUCCCUAUCUGUCGUGGGCGCAGGAAAUUUGAGAGGAGCUGUCCUUAGU